AGCCAAAUAUUCACAAUAAAAAAAAAACACAAACAGUGCUCCUGGUGCUCCUCGAUAUGCAAUGUUUUUUUUCGCUGAAACUCGAAGGUUUCCAUCAUUUUAUAACUAAAAACUACAUGUUUUUUUGUGCAUUGGUUCGGUAUUUCCCAGAGUUCCCUAUUCCCAGAAAACGGCACCAGCUCCACACGAGGCCCAACUCCACAUCACUGUGACCACGAUCGUGGGCAUCAUAGACAAUUUGCUCUCGCAGUGGUGGCAGAAUUUUCCGGCUGAAGGUACGAUACCCAGAACGUACCUAUUGGGGAUGGUAGCGGAAGUAGAUCCGGUAUUGGAAACCAUUUUAACCAGAUUUGCAGCUCAAGGACAACGAAUCACUGAUGAUGCUGAUCAUGAUACAACGCUUGACGGGUUUACGAAACAGCAUAGCGCGUACCAAAAGGAGUAAUCUCACGAUUUCAAGUGCUAUGUGUUGGCGGCCAAUGACGAUGUGCGAUGAUAGUGAUCAAAGCAAAUGAAUCGGGAGGUAAAUUGUCAUAUACCAUAAACAACAGCAAUCCAUCGGUCGUUUGAUCACCAACUUAAAGAAAAAACGAAAAUGAUUAACAAUAAAAAUGUAUCGCAUAAAAAUU